rnacentral:pre_miRNA from 1 species
AAUGCAAUAACUGGGUCAAAUGGUGGUUCCAUUCCUAGGUUUUUGAGGAAUCUCCAUAAUGCUUUCCAGAGUGGUUGCACCAGUUUGCAGUCCCACAAACAAU